AUUGAACGCUGGCGGCAUGCCUUACACAUGCAAGUCGAACGGCAGCACGGGUGCUUGCCCCUGGUGGCGAGUGGCGAACGGGUGAGUAAUACAUCGGAACAUGUCCUGUAGUGGGGGAUAGCCCGGCGAAAGCCGGAUUAAUACCGCAUACGAUCUACGGAUGAAAGCGGGGGACCUUCGGGCCUCGCGCUAUAGGGUUGGCCGAUGGCUGAUUAGCUAGUUGGUGGGGUAAAGGCCUACCAAGGCGACGAUCAGUAGCUGGUCUGAGAGGACGACCAGCCACACUGGGACUGAGACACGGCCCAGACUCCUACGGGAGGCAGCAGUGGGGAAUUUUGGACAAUGGGCGAAAGCCCGAUCCAGCAAUGCCGCGUGUGUGAAGAAGGCCUUCGGGUUGUAAAGCACUUUUGUCCGGAAAGAAAUCCUUGGCCCUAAUACGGUCGGGGGAUGACGGUACCGGAAGAAUAAGCACCGGCUAACUACGUG
rnacentral:rRNA from 1 species